UAGGGAAUCUUCCACAGUGGGCGCAAGCCUGAUGGAGCAACGCCGCGUGAGUGAUGAAGGCCUUCGGGUUGUAAAACUCUGUCUUCUGUGACGAACAAGUAUGAGAGUGGAAAGCUCAUACCCUGACGGUAACAGAGGAGGAAGCCACGGCUAACUACGUGCCAGCAGCCGCGGUAAUACGUAGGUGGCGAGCGUUGUCCGGAAUCACUGGGCGUAAAGCGCGCGCAGGCGGCGAUCUACGUCUGGGGUGAAAGCCCGGAGCUCAACUCCGGGACUGCCUUGGAUACGGGAUCGCUUGAGGAUUGGAGAGGCAAGGGGAAUUCCACGUGUAGCGGUGAAAUGCGUAGAGAUGUGGAGGAACACCUGUGGCGAAGGCGCCUUGCUGGCCAAUUACUGACGCUGAGGCGCGAAAGCGUGGGGAGCAAACAGGAUUAGAUACCCUGGUAGUCCACGCCGUAAACGAUGAGUGCUAGGUGUUC
rnacentral:rRNA from 1 species